rnacentral:rRNA from 1 species
UACAGAGGCCUCGAGCGUUAGGCGGAAUCACUGGGCUUAAAGCGUGUGUAGGCGGACUUCUAAGUACCUUGUGAAAUCCCACGGCUCACCCGUGGAACUGCUCGGUAUACUGGUCGUCUUGAGCCUUCUAGGGGCGAGUGGAACAAAUGGUGGAGCGGUGAAAUGCAUUGAGAUCGGAAAGAACACCAAUGGCGAAAGCACUCUGCUGGGCCAACACUGACACUGAGAGACAAAAGCGUGGGGAGCGAACAGG